rnacentral:tRNA from 1 species
GUCUUUGUAGUAUAUUAAAUACUUUGGUCUUGUAAACCAACAAUGAAGGAUAUUACCCUUCCUAAGACU